rnacentral:rRNA from 1 species
CCUACGGGAGGCAGCAGUGAGGAAUAUUGGUCAAUGGGCUUACGCCUGAACCAGCCAAGUCGCGUGAGGGAAGACUGCCCUAUGGGUUGUAAACCUCUUUUGUCAGGGAGCAACGCCGGCUACGUGUAGCCGGACUGAGAGGACCUGAAGAAAAAGCAGCGGCGAACUCCGUGCCAGCAGCCGCGGUAAUAAGGAGGAUGCGAGCGUUAUCCGGAUUGAUUGGGUUGAAAGGGUGCGUAGGCGGAAUGCCAAGUCAGCGGUAAAAUCGCGGGGCUCAACCUCGCUCCGCCGUUGAAACUGGCGUUCUUGAGUGGGCGAGAAGUAUGCGGCAUGCGUGGUGUAGCGGUGAAAUGCAUAGAUAUCACGCAGAACUCCGAUUGCGCAGGCAGCAUACCGGCGCCCAACUGACGCUGAAGCACGAAAGCGUGGGUAUCGAACAGGAUUAGAUACCCCGGUAGUC